AUAGCGUAUAUUAAAGUUGUUGCCGUUAAAAAGCUCGUAGUCGAACUUCGGCCUCUGCCGCCCGGUCCGCCUAUUUGGGUGUGUACUGGAGCGGUGGAGGCUUACCUCGUGGUGAGCGGCGAUGUCCUUUACUGGGCGUCGUCGGGAACCAUGACUUUUACUUUGAAAAAAUUAGAGUGUUCAAAGCAGGCUUACGCCCGAAUACAUUAGCAUGGAAUAAUAAAAUAGGACGUGCGGUCCUAUUUUGUUGGUUUCUAGGAUCGCCGUAAUGAUUAAUAGGGAUAGUUGGGGGCAUUCGUAUUCAAUUGCUAGAGGUGAAAUUCUUGGAUUUAUUGAAGACGAACUACUG
rnacentral:rRNA from 1 species